CUUGGUCAUUUAGAGGAAGUAAAAGUCGUAACAAGGUUUCCGUAGGUGAACCUGCGGAAGGAUCAUUACAGAGUUCAUGCCCUCACGGGUAGAUCUCCCACCCUUGAAUAUAUUACCUUUGUUGCUUUGGCGGGCCGCUUCGUCCACCGGCUUCGGCUGGUGAGUGCCCGCCAGAGGACCCCAAAUUCUGACUUAUAGUGUCGUCUGAGUACUAUAUAAUAGUUAAAACUUUCAACAACGGAUCUCUUGGUUCUGGCAUCGAUGAAGAACGCAGCGAAAUGCGAUAAGUAAUGUGAAUUGCAGAAUUCAGUGAAUCAUCGAAUCUUUGAACGCACAUUGCGCCCCGUGGUAUUCCGCGGGGCAUGCCUGUUCGAGCGUCAUUUAAACCAAUCCAGCUUGGCUGGGUCUUGGGCUCUCGCCUCCGGGCAGGCCUUAAAAUCAGUGGCGGUGCCAUCCGGCUCUAAGCGUAGUAAUACUCCUCGCUACAGGGCUCCGGGUGGAGGCUGGCCAACAACCCCUUAUUUUAUCAGGUUGACCUCGGAUCAGGUAGGGAUACCCGCUGAACUUAAGCAUAUCAAUAAGCGGAGGAAAAGAAACCAACAGGGAUUACCUCAGUAACGGCGAGUGAAGCGGUAACAGCUCAAAUUUGAAAUCUGGCCCUUUCAGGGUCCGAGUUGUAAUUUGUAGAAGAUGCUUCGGGUGUAGCUCCGGUCUAAGUUCCUUGGAACAGGACGUCAUAGAGGGUGAGAAUCCCGUAUGUGACUGGUGGCUUUCGCCCAUGUGAAGCUCUUUCGACGAGUCGAGUUGUUUGGGAAU
rnacentral:sRNA from 1 species